CCUACGGGAGGCUGCAGUGGGGAAUAUUGGGCAAUGGGCGCAAGCCUGACCCAGCAACGCCGCGUGAAGGAAGAAGGCUUUCGGGUUGUAAACUUCUUUUCUCAGGGACGAAGCAAGUGACGGUACCUGAGGAAUAAGCCACGGCUAACUACGUGCCAGCAGCCGCGGUAAUACGUAGGUGGCAAGCGUUAUCCGGAUUUACUGGGGGUAAAGGGCGAGUAGGCGGGAAAGCAAGUCAGAUGUGAAAACCACGGGCUCAACCUGUGGCCUGCAUUUGAAACUGUUUUUAUUGAGUACUGGAGAGGCAGACGGAAUUCCUAGUGUAGCGGUGAAAUGCGUAGAUAUUAGGAGGAACACCAGUGGCGAAGGCGGUCUGCUGGACAGCAACUGACGCUGAGGCGCGAAAGCGUGGGGAGCAAACAGGAUUAGAUACCCCAGUAGUC
rnacentral:rRNA from 1 species